UGCAGCCGGGGCAUUAGCGGGGCCCUGUAACCUGCAAUCCGCUACAGCAGGGGUGAUGCCGAUCCGAGGACUCAUACUGGUGGAGCUGCCUUUGUUAAGCGGCGCUGACGUCUGGGUCCUGCGCAACGGAAACCUGUGAACCGUGUCAGGACGGGAACGUAGCAGCACUAAGCAGGACCUUUCGUGUGUCGCAGGGGUGCCUGGGCCGAGCUGGCUGGCGAAGUAACGUCUGUUGGCCUGCGUUCGGAGUGAGGCGCACGG
rnacentral:SRP_RNA from 1 species